UGAGGAAUAUUGGUCAAUGGGCGCAAGCCUGAACCAGCCAUCCCGCGUGAAGGAAGAAGGCGCAAUGCGUUGUAAACUUCUUUUCCAGGGGGAGAAUUUUUCCGCCGUGACGGGAUUUGACGUUACUCUGGGAAUAGGCACCGCCUAACCCCGUGCCAGCAGCCGCGGUAAUACGGAGGAUGCGAGCGUUAUCCGGAUUUAUUGGGUUUAAAGGGUGCGUAGGCGGAUAGAUAAGUCAGUGGUGAAAUUCUGCAGCUUAACUGUAGACUUGCCGUUGAUACUGUCAGUCUUGAGUAUGGUCAAGGCAGGCGGAAUGUGUAAUGUAGCGGUGAAAUGCUUAGAUAUUACACAGAACACCGAUUGCGAAGGCAGCUUGCUGGGCCAUUACUGACGCUGAUGCACGAAAGCGUGGGGAUCGAACAG
rnacentral:rRNA from 1 species